rnacentral:snRNA from 1 species
AGCUUUGUGCAGUGGCAGUAUCAUAGCCAAUGAGGCUUAUCCAAGGCGCGAUUAUUGCUAACUGAAAACUUUUUGAGAAUACAGGUCCAAGAAGGAUGACAGAGGACCUAGUGGGGAUUGUAUUGUUAUA